rnacentral:rRNA from 1 species
UGGCGAACGGGUGAGUAACACGUGGGGCAACCUGCCCAAAAGAGGGGGAUAACACUUGGAAACAGGUGCUAAUACCGCAUAACCAUAGUUACCGCAUGGUAACUAUGUAAAAGGUGGCUAUACUACCGCUUUUGGAUGGGCCCGCGGCGCAUUAGCUAGUUGGUAGGGUAAAGGCUUACCAAGGCAAUGAUGCGUAGCCGAAUUGAGAGGUUGAUCGGCCACAUUGGGACUGAGACACGGCCCAAACUCCUACGGGAGGCAGCAG